AAGCAUUAAAUAAAUUGGGAUUACCUGCUACAAACGUAGCUCUGGGCAAAGUUACUAAAAUAUACACAGGCCCACCGGAUAGACAGUAGACGCAUGGGCACUGUUGCAAACCAGGAUAGCCAGAAGACCUCCAAAUACUGCUUUAGUAAAUAUAAUUAAGCCCAAGGAGGUACACCAGAAUGGAGUAUUAAUCAUAUACAGGAUAGAUACUGUCACAAGAUCACUAGUUGAAGCGCACUAUAAGAUCUUAUGCAAAGAAGAAUAGAAGAAAAUCCAAAGCAGUGGCACCCAUUUAGAUGGUAUGCCUGGUAUGUGUGGCCAAAGAGGAACCACAUGUGUCCUAGUCACAAUAGUCGUAAUAGUUGUGUCAGUAAUUUUCUUAAGGGAAGUAGAGAAAGUGAGGCAGAAUGACACAACCCCACAAAAGAGGGAACUAGCAGAAUCAAGGGGAAGUCCCCCUUACACCAAUCCAUUAAUAAUUACUCUAAGACAGGGAAGAGAUGAGAGUUUCCUGUGUGACCCCAUAUCUGUGAGCGUAAGAAACCUAUAUGGCACCGAAUUUUCUUUCUGUUCGGAAGCCUGUAGUUGGUCCAAUGUUAAAGCUUAUUAUGGGACAGGAGUAUGGGGAGUUGAUGAAAGAUUUAAGAUAGACAAAGUAAGGAAAGAACAGCCAGGAAUGAUCUGGAGAGAUAUCUCCAGAUUAAAUAUCACCAUAUCUAAAGUGCAGUACUCAGACACUGGAGGAUAUUACUGCGCAUGGUCUAUACCAGGAGCAGAUGUUUAUCAGAACGUUCAGAUUACUUUUGUGAUGCCAGAAGAAGGAAAAAUCAUUGAAAAAGUAUUUUCUGAUUUAUCUCCAAACCUGAUUGACCUACCACAGGAUGCAUCCAAGAAAAAUAUAGAACUUAUUAUGAGUUCAGAUCUAAGUGAUAAUAUUAAGGAAGUUAGGACAGCUAAAGCCAAGUGUGAAGGAAAUUAUGCAUGUGCAUUGGCAUUAUUACAAAGAGGAACUCUGAAGGAAGAAGUAGAUGGAGAAUGUUGGAUCUGUAUGCAGCUACAUUCAGCAUGGAAGACACACCCAAUAACUUCAGAAAUGGUAUGCCCUGAAAGAGACAGAUGCGAUAUACCGCCACAGAUGUCUAAAAUUCUACAGAUGACAAAUAAUCUAAGAGCAAACAGGGCAUUGUUGUUUUCUCUUCAAGAUUAUAAUUGUUCGUAUGAUAGACUGCCUUUUCGAAGGACCAGCCUUCCACGUACAGUCACAUUUUGCAGGUUUGUGUAUCUGUUCAAACAAGGGGAAGCACUAUGUAGGAAUGUCAACUUGUUAG
ensembl:lncRNA